UACGGAGGAUGCGAGCGUUAUCCGGGUUUAUUGGGUUUAAAGGGUGCGUAGGCGGAUUUUUAAGUCAGCGGUAAAAUGUCCGGGCUCAACCCGGGCCGGCCGUUGAAACUGGGGAUCUUGAGUGGGCGAGAAGUAUGCGGAAUGCGUGGUGUAGCGGUGAAAUGCAUAGAUAUCACGCAGAACUCCGAUUGCGAAGGCAGCAUACCGGCGCCCGACUGACGCUGAGGCACGAAAGCGUGGGGAUCGAACAGG
rnacentral:rRNA from 1 species